GCCCGUGUAGCUCAGCGGUAGAGCGCCGGUGUCACAUACCGGUUACGGAGGUUCGACUCCUCCCAUGGGUA
rnacentral:tRNA from 1 species